rnacentral:rRNA from 1 species
CCUACGGGAGGCAGCAGUGGGGAAUAUUGCACAAUGGGGGAAACCCUGAUGCAGCGACGCCGCGUGAGUGAAGAAGUAUUUCGGUACGUAAAGCUCUAUCAGCAGGGAAGAAAAUGACGGUACCUGACUAAGAAGCCCCGGCUAACUACGUGCCAGCAGCCGCGGUAAUACGUAGGGGGCAAGCGUUAUCCGGAUUUACUGGGUGUAAAGGGAGCGUAGACGGCAGCGCAAGUCUGGAGUGAAAUCCCAUGGCUUAACCAUGGAACUGCUUUGGAAACUGUGCAGCUAGAGUGCAGGAGAUGUAAGCGGAAUUCCUAGUGUAGCGGGGAAAUGCGUAGAUAUUAGGAGGAACACGAGUGGCGAAGGCGGCUUACUGGACUGUAACUGACGUUGAGGCUCGAAAGCGUGGGGAGCAAACAGGAUUAGAUACCCCAGUAGUC